rnacentral:rRNA from 1 species
AAUCAACGCUGGCGGCGUGCCUAACACAUGCAAGUCGAACGAGAAAGUGGAGCAAUCCAUGAGUACAGUGGCGCGCGGGUGAGUAACACGUGACUAACCUGCCUUCGAGUGGGGAAUAACCUCGGGAAACCGGGGCUAAUACCGCAUAACAUCAUCGGGUGAAAUUCCUGCUGAUCAAAAGUUUUUUGCUUGAAGAGGGGGUCGCGGCUGAUUAGCUAGUUGGUGAGGUAAUGGCUCACCAAGGCGAUGAUCAGUAGCCGGCCUGAGAGGGCGCACGGCCACACUGGAACUGAAACACGGUCCAGACUCCUACGGGAGGCAGCAGUGGGGAAUUUUGCGCAAUGGGGGAAACCCUGACGCAGCAACGCCGCGUGGAGGAUGAAGUCCCUUGGGACGUAAACUCCUUUCGAUCGGGACGAAUAAAUUGACGGUACCGGAAGAAGAAGCCCCGGCUAACUUCGUGCCAGCAGCCGCAGUAAAAC